rnacentral:rRNA from 1 species
GUGUCAGCAGCCGCGGUAAUACAGAGGGUGCGAGCGUUGUCCGGAAUCACUGGGCGUAAAGGGCGCGUAGGCGGCUUGGGAAGUCCGUGGUGAAAGCUCGUGGCUCAACUGCGAGUCGGCCAUGGAUACUCCUAGGCUUGAGUCGACUAGAGGCAGAUGGAAUUCCGGGUGUAGCGGUGGAAUGCGUAGAGAUCCGGAAGAACACCGGUGGCGAAGGCGGUCUGCUGGGGUCGAACUGACGCUGAGGCGCGACAGCGUGGGGAGCAAACAGGAUUAGAUACCCUGGUAGUCCACGCCGUAAACGAUGGGCACUAGGUGCUUGGGGGAGCGACCCCCUGAGUGCCGGCGCUAACGCAUUAAGUGCCCCGCCUGGGGAGUACGGCCGCAAGGCUGAA